ACAGAGGCCUCGAGCGUUAGGCGGAAUCACUGGGCUUAAAGCGUGUGUAGGCGGAUCGUUAAGUGUCUUGUGAAAUCCCACGGCUCACCCGUGGAACGGCUGGGCAUACUGGCGAUCUUGGGCCGACCAGGGGCAACUGGAACAAGCGGUGGAGCGGUGAAAUGCGUAGAUAUCGCUUGGAACGCCGAAGGUGAAAACAGGUUGCUGGGGUCGCGCCGACGCUGAGACACGAAAGCCAGGGGAGCAAACGGGA
rnacentral:rRNA from 1 species